AUGCGUGUAAUUGUCGAAAAUAACGAAGUUAUUCGCUUCCCGGGGUCCGGAAUCCCCCUGCUUUUGGUUCAGCCCGCGCAGUCACAGGACGGCGAGCUGGCGACGUCACCGGCUCGAGAAAACCAGCCCCCGAAAUUCUCAGAACUAAUUUAUAUUCCGUGACUUAAACGGCGCGCCGUGCCGCUGCCUUCCGUUGCAUUUAACACACAUACAGUCCAUACAUGAGCUGCGCAGAGACAGAGCUCUGAAUUAGGUCCGUGCGGACAGGUCGAUGUCUCUGCCUUGCUUUUGGGGCUCUUAUCAGUUUGUAGGCGCAUUUCCCUGCGGCCAGCUGAGCACCAGUCUGCAGCAGCAAGUAGGGAAGGGGCAGCACCUGCAGGCACAGAUGAUCUCUGGAAGUUUCCCAGAGGUCUCAUUUUACGGACUUUGAAACCAGCAGUAAGAGGGAACGUUUCCCGUUUGAAGACUUUCCUCCCCUCAGAAACCUUUAAAGACUUUCUAAAACAACACACCCUCUCUCCCUCCCUCUCUCUUUCCCACUUCAGCAAGAGUGACAUCUCCCAGUGGAGUGCCCGAGCAUCCGCCCAUUUGCAGCCGGAAUCCCUCCAAAAAGAAACCAGCAACAAAAAAAAAAAAACACUUCAGCAAUCUCCGAUUCAGCACUGCCAAAUAAAGACGGCGCGGAGCUCCAAACAAAGAGCAGCGUCAACUUUAUUUCAAUCCACUUGGGGGACGUUUGAGGCGCUCCGGCGCGGUUUAUGCAUAAUGCACGGCCAUAAACCAUCCAGGAGUUAGGAGGGAGACGUGUAAUUUACCAAGGCCUCAUGCUGUGCCCCCGCUAUACGGGGAUGAGAUAAUUACCGCAAAUCCUUGGCAAACUUUUUACUCCACCAAUUUCUUUUUUUCCUAAAGAAAAAAAAACCCAGUAAUAAUAAAUGACCCACUUAGAGAGGGGCAGAUCAAUGUGCCCCCGUCUGAACCCUCCGUGUUAUCAAACUGCGCCGGUUAAUCCUAAUUGUCUCCGUUCAGGCUGCAGAAUUAAACAUUGUUCUGUUUGACGGCGUUCAGAAAUCAAGCUCACCAGCUGAAUUCAUUUUAACGAAAAUAAUAAUAAUAAUAUUAUUAUUAAUAAUAAUAGUGUGAAUCGCUGCCGAUCCAGUCGGUGCGCCGCAGGGUCACCGACCAGAAGUGCCCACUGACAAAAGCCCGAGGCCCGGAGGUUGCCUCACUUUCCCUCCUCCCUCCUCCUCCUCUUCAUAAAUUGCACUUUUUUUUUUGUCUCGUUUCACAGCAAAUUUCUGCCAACUUCAGUGUUCAUUGUCAGCAAAGAUGAGUGCAGAGUUUUGUUCUGAGAGGCAUGAUGCAACCGCGCUGUAACACCAAACAGAUAAUGCUGUUAGCUACAGAGGUCUUUUUAGUUCCUUUCUUUAAAAGAUUUUCUUUUUAUAUUGUUAAGUUUCACUUUUUUUACCCCCUCCCCCCUUCCCUUUCUUGUUUUUUUUUCCCUUCUCUCUCUCUUCACUCGCAUGUAAGCUCGUCUUUCUGCGCGGCGGAUGCGUGGAAACCAUCACAAGGAGAUUUGCAUUCAUAUCAUUUCACCUUGAUCGUCUGUUUAAAGGCAUCACAGAAAAACCUACUGUACAUGCGCACAUCAUUUAUAAAACAGGUAAAAGAGAUUGAGAUGUAAAAAAAAAAAAAAGAAUGAUGUAUGUGGUGGAGGAGGAGGGUGACUUCAAAAGACUUUCUGUGCAGGAGUGAAUUUCUUUUGGAGGUUUGCCUCAUGCUUUUUAAAAAAGAUUUUUUAUAUUAAUUAACACAGACGACUUCUAUUCUGACGGGCAAUCAAGCCCUCCCUGCAACAAAGCUGCUGCGUGUCUCCAUGUUGAAAGCUGUCUUUCAUCCCGUCUGACAAGGUUAAACACAAACAUGAGGAGAAGCUGCUUUUUUUUUUUUCUUUCUUUUUUUAAAAGUUUGUAGGAUCUCACAGUCGGGUUCGGAUUGUUCUUGCUUCAUAAACUGGGCCAGACUUUAGAAAGGGCAGUAGCCCGGGGCGCAAACAACAGGGGGAGGGCGGCAAACAAAUUUUUCGUGUAUAGUGUGCAUGUUCAUAUUAGAGACGCACUGAUCCUGAUAUUACUAUGUAUUGAUCUCGAUAUUGGAAAGAAAGUAUUAGUUGGCCGUUUUAUUUACAUAUUUGACCAAGGUGGUCAAUGUGCUUUUGUCAGUUUCAUUUUGGUGCUAUAAUCCUAAUUGCACUGCCUGAACAAAUUAAAGUCGUUUUUACAUGUUUGACCAAGAUUGUGAAGCUAUUGGUGUAUUUAACUGUGCUGUACUGGUGCAGAGUUAUCACUUAAAUUUGUAAUUGAGUACAUUUAGGUUUGCGUUUUUUAAAAACUACGCAUUUUAAAACAAUUCGACACUGUUUCUGUGUCGGAUCGGUAUCGGCCGAUGUUAAACCUCAGAUAUCGGCAUCGGAAGUGAAAAAAGUUGAUCGGUGCAUCCCUGGUUCAUAUUAAAGUCAUGGGCUCGUUUCGCAUGUGGGUUUUUUUUUUGUAAAACAUUGGAUUGUUUUAUUAAUUGAAACUACCCUCAAAUAUUUGGAAAUUACCUAUCCAACAUGGUCCCAAAAUGAUGCCACACAUUUUAAGCCAACCGUACAUCAACUUGUAAAUGCAACAAUACAACAAUAUAGACCUACCUAUAGUUCAGUAAUUUGCGCAAGUAAAAAAAAAAAAAUAUAUAUAUAUAUAUAUAUACAUAUAUAUAUAUAUAUAUACCAGCAAAUCUGGUUCCAGCCCAGGGGCCUUUAUUCUUCUCAAUCCGUCCCUGUUCAUAUAAAUAUACAGUUCAGACCAAAAGUUUGGACACACAGUUGUGUCCAAACCUUUGGUCUGUACUGUAUAUAUUGUGGCACUUCUGGACAACGAGUGUCUAUUGGUUCCUUCAAAAACGCGCUCUUAAAAAGUACGUUGGCAGAAAGUUUUCUGCAGCGCUUUGGCGAUUCACCUUGAGAUUUGUUUGCUUUGCUCCUCCAAGCAAACAACUCGGAGCGCAUUGAGAGCCGAGGUGUGUGAUGGCGUUGGGUGUUUGGUGGGCUGGAAUUUCAAUUUUAGUCAAAUUAAAGCCUGUAUAUUCCGGACUUCCUCUCAAGGCCAUCUGAGAGGAGGCCCAGAAUGAACUCUGCAGAUCCGAACUCGGUGGAAUCUUCCACGCAUACCGGCGUGCCACCUGCUGCACGGUGGCUCAGAUUCCUCCAGCAAACGCAGGAAUGAGACUGACAACGUGUGCAAAUAAUGGGUGCCAUCGUUAAAUCUUUACUGUGUUUGCUCCAGAGCAGCAGGUCCGAGCGGCUGAAAUUUGGGAGAUUAUUUCCAAAGCUUUGCCUCCGUAUAUUCAGAGGUAUUCUGUCUUAGACGGGACGCCCCGGAGUGGGCGCUCAGAUAGCCAACAGGUGGCUCUUAUUACUCCGCACCACCCUGGAUAAUGAUCCAAUAGGAACCAUGUGCCUGAAUCACUCCACCUUCUCCUCAUCGCUGCCCCACCAGUUAGGUGUCGAGCUGUGGAUCUCGAUGGGCUGGCUGUGAGAGCAGCUUUUCUUUGUGUCAGUUUUAUCUUCCUUUUUUUUCUUUUGUUUAACUCAAACUGCACAGGAGGAGAUUCCUGCACACUCCAAAGCUUUAAAAUUAACACUUACUACAUCAUGAAAAACAGUCUCUUAAGGAUUUAUUUUAUUCCAAAGCAAAAUUAAAUUUUUUUUACAGUCACCGUCUUAUCUUCCUUAUUAGGCAUGUCAUAGUUACUGGUACCAAGAAUUUACUUUUUUUUCCCCUUUUUUUGGGAGAAAUUUCUGAUUUAAAAUCGUAAAAUUUUCAGGCUCAAUGUUUUUACACUUGAAAACUGCUUUUAAUGAGAUGGAACUACCCGAGUGACCAGCGUUUUCCCGACUGCAUGGAACGUAAGAUAGUAGGGUUGGGCGAUUACGGACUUAAAAUAUUAGAGAUAUUUUGUGGUACUAUCACAAUAACAAUGAAAGUUAGGACAGCAGGUAAUGUUUAGGUAAUUGUAUGGCUCCACAAACACAAAUAUUCUCAUUUGUGAUAUGCGUCUUUGGGACAACAGUCGCAAAAAUAAGUGCGAUUUGUUCCACUAAACUGCACACGGUAACUGCAUUUAAUGAGUUACUGACGAUUAUUGAUAUUUUCAUUGAAAAUACGGUGGAGAAAACAGCAUAACUAUUAGCAUAACUAUUUUCUCCACAGUUUUGGGGGUGUUUAAAAAUCAUCUGUUGUAAUUUAUUGCACCAACAAUUACACAAAAUGAUCAGAAGAAAUUUACCACAAUAAACGAUACGAUAGAUGCCCUACAGAUGGUCCCUCCAUUACAAUCUAGCUGACAAAAAAAAGGCAAAUGUGUCAGUUUGGACAUAUUUUCAGAAAGCCAAUAACGGUUCUAAAACUACAGUUUCUAUGAGUAACAUGUCUGUAAUGCAGCUGGCUGCAAAUUAGUUCACUGAGCAGCUAACUCUACCUCCUCGUCAUCUAUAACGAUUUAUUUAUCUACCUUUUUAUCUACAUCUUCGUCUGCUUCUUGUUGUUUUCCGUUUUUUCGUCUGCUGACUCAGGUGGAUCAUUUCUAGUGUGCCUCUCUUGUGGUUUUACGUCUGUCCGCCUAUUUUUAACCUCUGUAAAGCCCCUUUGUGUUGAACUCGGCUGUAUGAAAACCGCUCCGUAAAUAAAGUUUGAGUUGUUUCCGCUACUCUACAAAUAGAAUAGCAACAAUUUCUGAUAUUCUGCUCAAUAAGCAUGCAAGAACUACUAAAUGUAAUAGGUGUCCUGCUGUAUUUCUAAAUACCAAACUGACAAUAAAUGACUGUUAAAUGUUU